ACUCUGCGGCUGGAUCACCUCCUUAUCACGAAUUCUGGAUCCGAUACGUAACGCGUCUGCAGCAUGCGUGGUACCGAGCUUUCCCUAUAGUGAGUCGUAUUAGAGCUUGGCGUAAUCAUGGUCAUAGCUGUUUCCUGUGUGAAAUUGUUAUCCGCUCACAAUUCCACACAACAUACGAGCCGGAAGCAUAAAGUGUAAAGCCUGGGGUGCCUAAUGAGUGAGCUAACUCACAUUAAUUGCGUUGCGCUCACUGCCCGCUUUCCAGUCGGGAAACCUGUCGUGCCAGCUGCAUUAAUGAAUCGGCCAACGCGCGGGGAGAGGCGGUUUGCGUAUUGGGCGCUCUUCCGCUUCCUCGCUCACUGACUCGCUGCGCUCGGUCGUUCGGCUGCGGCGAGCGGUAUCAGCUCACUCAAAGGCGGUAAUACGGUUAUCCACAGAAUCAGGGGAUAACGC
rnacentral:rRNA from 1 species